rnacentral:rRNA from 1 species
CCUACGGGUGGCAGCAGUGAGGAAUAUUGGUCAAUGGGCUUACGCCUGAACCAGCCAAGUCGCGUGAGGGAAGACUGCCCUCUGGGUUGUAAACCUCUUUUGUCAGGGAGCAAUUGGCGCUACGUGUAGCGUUAUCGAGAGUACCUGAAGAAAAAGCAUCGGCUAACUCCGUGCCAGCAGCCGCGGUAAGCCGGGGGAUGCGAGCGUUAUCCGGUUUUAUGGGGUUAAAGUGGGGCGUAGGCGGAGUGCCAAGUCAGCGGUAAAACCGCGGGGCUCAACCUCGCUCCGCCGUUGAAACUGGCGGUCUUGAGUGGGCGAGAGGUAUGCGGAAUGCGUGGUGUAGCGGUGAAAUGCAUAGAUAUCACGCAGAACUCCGAUUGCGAAGGCAGCAUACCGGCGCGCAACUGACGCUGAGGCACGAAAGCGUGGGUAUCGAACAGGAUUAGAUACCCGUGUAGUC